rnacentral:rRNA from 1 species
UUAAACUAUUAAAUAAAAGUUAAUUAAUUCAAUAGAAAUAAAAUAGAAAAGUAAAAUAAUUUAUAUAAAAAAAUUAAUUUUUAAUGGUGAAAUAUAAAAAAUUAUAAAUUUAUGUAAUUAAAUAUAGUAUAAUUUUAAAGUUUAUGGAAUAAACUAGGAUUAGAUACCCUAUUAUAGUAAAAUAGAAAUUUUAAUAUUAAAGUAUUAAAUGUUAAAUCAUUAAAUUUAUAAGAUUUGGCGGUAUUUUAUACAAAUUAGGGGAACUUGUUUAGUAAUUGAUGAACCACGAUAAGAUUUACUUAAUUUAAUAUUUAUGUAUUGCUGUUUAAAAAUAUAUUUUAAGAAUAUAAGUUAUAAGUUAAAAAUAUAAAAUAAUUCAAGUCAAAAUAUAGUUUAGUUAAGAUAUAAUGAGUUACAAAAAAAUGAAUUUAUACGGAUUUUUAUAUUUAAUAAUAAAAUGAAGGUGGAUUUAAGAGUAAAAUUAAUAAAUAAAUUAAUUUGAAAUUUUGUUUUAAAAU